rnacentral:rRNA from 1 species
AGAGGUGGCAAGCGUUGUUCGGAAUUACUGGGCGUAAAGGGCGCGUAGGCGGUUUUGUAAGUCAGACGUGAAAUCCCCAGGCUUAACUUGGGAACUGCGUCUGAUACUGCAGAACUUGAGUGCGGGAGAGGGAUGUGGAAUUCCAGGUGUAGCGGUGAAAUGCGUAGAUAUCUGGAGGAACACCGGUGGCGAAGGCGGCAUCCUGGACCGACACUGACGCUGAGGCGCGAAAGCUAGGGGAGCAAACGGGAUUAGAUACCCCGGUAGUCCUAGCCCUAAACGAUGAGUGCUUGGUGUGGCGGGUAUCGAUCCCUGCCGUGCCGAAGCUAACGCAUUAAGCACUCCGCCUGGGGAGUACGGUCGCAAGGCUG